GAUGAAGAACGCAGCGAAAUGCGAUACGUAAUGUGAAUUGCAAAUUCAGUGAAUCAUCGAGUCUUUGAAUGCACAUUGCGCCCCCUGGUAUUCCGGGGGGCAUGCCUGUCCGAGCGUCAUUGCUGCCCUCAAGCACGGCUUGUGUGUUGGGCCCCGUCCUCCGAUCCCGGGGGACGGGCCCGAAAGGCAGCGGCGGCACCGCGUCCGGUCCUCGAGCGUAUGGGGCUUUGUCACCCGCUCUGUAGGCCCGGCCGGCGCUUGCCGAUCAACCCAAAUUUUUUAUCCAGGUUGACCUCGGAUCAGGUAGGGAUACCCGCUGAACUUAAGCAUAUCAAUAAGCGGAGGA
rnacentral:misc_RNA from 1 species